AACUCUAAGCGGUGGAUCACUCGGCUCAUGGGUCGAUGAUGAACGCAGCAAACUGUGCGUCAUCGUGUGAACUGCAAGACACAUGAACAUCGACAUUUUGAAUGCAUAUCGCAGUUAUGUACUUUAAUUAAUUUUAUAGUGCUGCUUGGACUACAUAUGGUUGAGGGUAG
rnacentral:rRNA from 1 species